rnacentral:rRNA from 1 species
UGGGGAAUAUUGGACAAUGGGCGCAAGCCUGAUCCAGCCAUGCCGCGUGAGUGAUGAAGGCCCUAGGGUUGUAAAGCUCUUUCAGCGAGGAGGAUAAUGACGUUACUCGCAGAAGAAGCCCCGGCUAACUUCGUGCCAGCAGCCGCGGUAAUACGAAGGGGGCUAGCGUUGUUCGGAAUCACUGGGCGUAAAGCGCACGUAGGCGGACUUUUAAGUCAGGGGUGAAAUCCCGGGGCUCAACCUCGGAACUGCCUUUGAUACUGGAAGUCUGGAGUCCGAGAGAGGUGAGUGGAACUCCGAGUGUAGAGGUGAAAUUCGUAGAUAUUCGGAAGAACACCAGUGGCGAAGGCGGCUCACUGGCUCGGUACUGACGCUGAGGUGCGAAAAGCGUGGGGAGCAAAACAGGAUUAGAUACCCUGGUAGUCCACGCCGUAAAACGAUGGAAGCUAGCCGUCAGGGUGCAUGCAUCUUGGUGGCGCAGUUAACGCAUUAAGCUUCCCGCCUGGGGAGUACGGUCGCAAGAUUAAAAACUCAAAAUGAAUUGACGGGGUCAUAGCUGUUUCCU